AUUGAACGCUGGCGGCAUGCCUAACACAUGCAAGUCGAACGGCCACACGAUGAGAGCUCUCUCUUACUGGUGGCGGGGGGCGGAUGGGUAACGAAUGGGUCGCAUUCUACUUGUUCUUGGAUAAUAACGGAAGAAAACAUCCCCUACUACCUCAUACUACCUACGGCUGAGAGCAAUGGAUCUACAGACCUUUGCCGUCUCUAUUAGCCGAUGUCGGAUUAGCUAGUUGGGUUGGUAAAGGCUCACCAAGGCAACGAUCCGUAGCUGGUCUGAGAGGAUGAUCAGCCACACUGGAACUGAGACACGGUCCAGACUCCUACGGGAGGCAGCAGUGGGGAAUAUUGGGCAAUGGGCGCAAGCCUGAUCCAGCAAUGCCGCGUGAGUGAAGAAGGCCUUCGGGUUGUAAACCGCUUUUGUUGGGAAAGAACAGAAGCAGGUUAAUACCCGGACGUAAUGACGGUACCUAAAGAAUAAGCACCGGCUAACUACGUG
rnacentral:rRNA from 1 species